rnacentral:lncRNA from 1 species
UGGUUUACUGCUCAAAGCGUUCGCUAAGAAUGGUGGGCUGUAGUUUUCACGUCUACUGUUCUUUUGUUCUUCUUCCUUGAGAUAUUUCUAUUUGUCUUCUUGUUGGGGUACCGUAUGCCUCUCUCACUGUAAAAUUUUCUGAGAGAUGAUUUAUGAUUAUGUUUGGAAGUUCUCAGACCAAGACAAGAACAGUACAAGUGUGUCUAUCUGACUCGGCAAAACUCACAGAGCCAUCCUUCUCUCUCUUGCCAUUAAUGGUAGAAACCCCCACUUAGAAGUAACAGCAGAAGUCUGCAUCUUAGAACUUGGUAUUGUCAAGACUAUGUUUGGAUUUUUGUAGUUUUGAGUAUAAGCAAUUGCUUGUAGGAUUGACAGAAGGACCAGCUUUAGAGUCAGUAGUUGGAAGUCUGUUCAGUAACUUUGUUCACUGUGUAGAUUAUAAAUAGCACAAAAUUAAUUAGUGCUUAAUCAGCAGCUCAUCACUGUAAGAGCCUGUGACCGAUACCAAGAUCUCAAUGACUGCCAGGGAAACUGGCAAUGUUCAAAGGCUGCAGCAAGUGCUCAUCUUUCAUCACUAGCCUCAGUGUGGUAUCUUCUGCAAUCCUUUUACUUUGUUAUCACCUUGCAAGAGCUGGGAAUGAUCAAACUUUACCAUGCUGAUUUCUGAGUGCAGUCAAGGGUGAUCCUACUUUGUUUACUGUCACGAUGCCAAAGUUCUUGGUUUGUGUGUUUGUUGUGACUGAUAUAAUACUUCCACACUGCUGCUUCACAGUUACUGUAGAGCAUCUUUUGACCUGUUAGAAGAAGGAAGUUGUUCCCUCUCACCAUAGAUCAGACUGCUCUAUCUGAGCUAUCAAAUAGGAGAGUGACUCUGUUUUAUGAUGAACAUGUAUUGAUGAUCCAUUUGAAUUUUGCAUUACAUCUAGCUUAAGUUGAAGUACUACUUUCUUCCUUUUUCUUUGUGAUCUGUUAUACGCAUAAAUUAACAUUAGAAGUGUCCACUGAAUGAGGAUCAUGCAAUCUUCAAAAGACCCAUCAAAAAGAUGAAACAAUAUGCAAAUGUGCCACUGGCUUUACCUGUUCAUCCAUGGCAGUAGCUAAGGAAUUCUCCUGUCUUGUUAUCUUCAAGCAAUCAAUCUAAAGCAGUGUGGAACUGUGGGUGUCUUCAGUAUCAGAGAUUCUUUGGCUGUCUCUGCUGCUGCUUCUCCUGCACCACAAGUUUGUGUGGAACUGUGGAUGUACUGCCAGAGCUUCUUUGGUUGUUUCUACUGCUGAUCCUUCUGCACUGAAAGUAUAGUAUGGAAGUGUGGAUGUCCUCAGUAGCAGAGCUUCUUUGGUUGUUUCUGCUACUGCUUCUUCUGCAUCAGAAGGGUAGUGUCGAACUGUGGAUGUCCUCUCAGAUCUUUGGUUGUUUCUACUGCUGAUUCUUCUGCAUCAAAAUUACAGUGCUGAAGUGUGGAUGGGGUUAAGUAGCAGAGCUUCUUUGGUUGUUUCUUCUACUGCUUCUUCUGCAUCAAAAAUAUAGUGUGGAACUGUGGAUGUCUUCAGUAGUAAAGCUUCUUUGGUUGUUUCUGCUGUUUCUCCUGCUGCUGACUGUUCAUCAAAUGUAGGUUUGGGACUGUGGAUGUCCUCACAACCAGAACUUCUGUGGUUGUUUCCUCUGCUGCUUCUUGUUCAUCAUAUGUAGUGUGGCACUGUAGGUGUUUCUGCUACUGCUGCUUGUUCAUCAAAUGCAGUGUGGAACUGUGGAUGUCCUCAGCAUCAGAGAUUCUUUUGGUGGUUUCUUCUGGUGCUGCUUCUUUUUCUUUUUGCCUUCAUCUGCCUUAAGACAAAGGAGUGAAGCUGCACCAUGAAUGCCUCUUUCCAUGGGAUGAAAGAAAGAAACUCUUGCCAUUGAUUGUAGCUUUGAGGAACAGCUGCAUAUAUCAAGGUUCAGGUGGUAACUCUUGUGAGCAGGAAGAAGCCUAAUUGCUCUUCUUUCUUACUACUUGAUGAUCAUGAUAGAUAAGGAUUCUUCAUCCUGUCUUGUAAUGAAAGUUCAACAUUGAAAUAAUAUUGAAAUCAGACUUGUCUUUUGUGCUUUAAUAGCAUGGAUUGAACUAUACUGAAACAAUGUUUAAAGUAAUUUUGAGUGCAUCACUUGGGAUUCAGAGUGAUAAAGUUUGAAU